rnacentral:sRNA from 1 species
AAUAAUAAUUAAUAGCGCUUAGUUUAAAGAAUUUGAACUAUUUUUUGGCCAACUUGGAGAAAGAAUGUGUACUUGAUUAUUGGCAUUCCGCGUAUUUACGCGGGGAUAAAGAGAAAACAAAGGAGAAAAGGAAUUUCCUCAAUUCCGAUGACUAGUACCUCCGAGCAAGCAAUCAUCGGCGAACAGAUGUAAAAAGAGAGUUUUAAACACUGAGUUUUAUUUAUCAAGAACGUACCCGUACAGCUAUCGUUUCAGGCAGAUAACAAAAAUGUGAUUGAAAUUAAAGUAGUUUUGUUUGGAAUCAUGAUAAUUAAAUAUUUCAUUAAUUUGAAGUUACUAAGUAAUGAAGCUAGCCCGAGAAACGCAAAUGCUCAGAGAGCCCGGCAGUAAUUGUGUACACAGAACUAUACAAGCCGCUGGAUAAAGCUUAUUCGUUGAUGUCAUCCGCUAUUACCUCUCCUAAUCAUGGCUGCAGGAAAUCUUUUCUCUCAACAUCUUGUACCACUUUAAAAUGCGGUAGCAAAGGACAAACGGUAAAACGUUACACUGCCACGGUGUUAUAGCAGCCGCAAAGUGAGUAAGCAUGUGAUGGUACCUUCAAUACUGCGUUGGAGAAAAAAAGUGCGUAUCUUUGUUUACUUUUCGUCUUCGAGGGGAAGGAUCAAAGGCGCAUGCGUGCCCGCAGGAGGGGGCGCCAGGAUUGGGGGUAGAUACAACAUCAAGGAAGCGUCAUGGUGGCUUCUUGGGUCUUAAAUACGCAGGGAAUUAAAGUUUCAUUUAUGUGCCUUUACAUGCACUCAAAAACCUUCUUAGUUACAGGAAAAGGUAAAGAUACGAUAAGAAAAGCCUUUGAACUGCCCAUCCUGCAUCCUAACACAGAUCUAACUCACUAUUCGGGUAAGGAAGUGUCAUGCAUGUCUGCAAAGGGACUAGAAGAAAGUUACAUGAUUACAUAAGCAAAAAAUCGGAAUUACAGACACACCAUUUUUUAUCCUGCGGCCCCAUUUCCGUCUUCGAGGGAAAGGAUCAAAGGCGCUUAGCCCAAUCUUGAUGAUUCACCGGGGAAGAAAGGAAUUACAGAACCCCCAGCCACGUAACACAGCCAAUUAGUUUUCUAUAUCGGGAAACGUGAUUGAUUGCGCAAUUUUGGCUGCAUCAGAAUACAUCGAUGAGAUCUAGAGCACCCUUUGAUGGUUUAAGUCCGGUUUAAAGUUAGUAGAUCAAUGAUUUCGUAGUGCAUUUUAAAGGGAGCGCUUAUCCAUGGGUGAUUGCGUUUACAACGUUUUGUGUGUACUCAUAAUAGCCAAUCUAAAAUUAAACAACAACAACAACGCACAAUUAAUAUGUAUCAGCCCCAAUACCUUUUUCUCUUACUGUAAUUUACUACUAAAUUGGGGUCGGACGUUUUUGAUCUUGUUCCUUGCCUGUUGUUUACCUUGUAUAUUACUUUUCCUCUUUUAUGUAUUUAAGGUAAAUUAAUUAUCUUUUGAUCUUAAUAUUUUUCUCAA